rnacentral:hammerhead_ribozyme from 1 species
AUCUAACUGACGAGUCCCAAAUAGGACGGAACGCGCGUCAAACUGGAU